GACGAACGCUGGCGGCGUGCUUAACACAUGCAAGUCGAACGGAAAGGCCCUGCUUUUGUGGGGUGCUCGAGUGGCGAACGGGUGAGUAACACGUGAGUAACCUGCCCUUGACUUUGGGAUAACUUCAGGAAACUGGGGCUAAUACCGGAUAGGAGCUCCUGCUGCAUGGUGGGGGUUGGAAAGUUUCGGCGGUUGGGGAUGGACUCGCGGCUUAUGAGCUUGUUGGUGGGGUAGUGGCUUACCAAGGCUUUGACGGGUAGCCGGCCUGAGAGGGUGACCGGCCACAUUGGGACUGAGAUACGGCCCAGACUCCUACGGGAGGCAGCAGUGGGGAAUAUUGCACAAUGGGCGGAAGCCGGAUGCAGCAACGCCGCGUGCGGGAUGACGGCCUUCGGGUUGUAAACCGCUUUCGCCUGUGACGAAGCGUGAGUGACGGUAAUGGGUAAAGAAGCACCGGCUAACUACGUG
rnacentral:rRNA from 1 species